UACGGAGGAUCCAAGCGUUAUCCGGAAUCAUUGGGUUUAAAGGGUCCGUAGGCGGGCCUGUAAGUCAGUGGUGAAAUCUUUCGGCUCAACCGGAAAAUUGCCGUUGAUACUGCAGGCCUUGAAUUAUUGGGAAGUAACUAGAAUAUGUAGUGUAGCGGUGAAAUGCUUAGAUAUUACAUGGAAUACCGAUUGCGAAGGCAGGUUACUAUCAAUAUAUUGACGCUGAUGGACGAAAGCGUGGGGAGCGAACAGG
rnacentral:rRNA from 1 species